UACGUAGGUGACAAGCGUUGUCCGGAUUUACUGGGCGUAAAGAGCGCGCAGGCGGUCGAUCAAGUCGAGUGUGAAAGCCCCCCGGCUCAACUGGGGGAGGGUCAUUCGAUACUGAUCGACUCGAAGGCAGGAGAGGGUAGUGGAAUUCCCGGUGUAGUGGUGAAAUGCGUAGAUAUCGGGAGGAACACCAGUGGCGAAGGCGACUCUCGCCUGUUCUUGACGCUGAGGCGCGAAAGCUAGGGGAGCAAACGGG
rnacentral:rRNA from 1 species